rnacentral:sRNA from 1 species
GCUGGGCAUGGUGGUGCACACCUGUAAUCCCAGUAGCUUGGGAGGCUGAGACAGGUGGAUCACGAGUUCAAAGCCAGCCUCAGCAAUGGUGAGGCACUAAGCAACUCAGUGAGACCCUGUCUCUA